GGCGACAGAGAGGUGGAGGUGGUGGAGGUGGUGGUGGUGGUGGUGGUGGUGGUUUGAGGUGGUGGUUUGAGGUGGUGGUGCAGGAACAGGACAUGAACACACACAGGCAGGCAGGCAGGCGGUUCGGGCAGGCGGGCGCGCGGGCAGGCAGGCAACGAUCCGAGUCCGAGCCAGCCGAGUGAACCGAGACAAGACAGGAGACAGGAGUGAGACAGAGCAACAGUAACAUACUGUAUGGGCAGGUGUAGUCACUAGCAGCGAGCAGGAAACACGUCCCCGUGCUCCGGCGGUCGUGUUCCCGGGUGCUGGACCUUCGCAUGGGGACCCUCUCCUCUGGAGACAUGGUCAGGUCGCUGCCGCCGCUGCAGUCUGCUGACAGAACUGUGAGAACAGAAACAGUGUUUAUCGAACCACCUGUCAGAUGCAGAGCUCCCAUCCAGCGUCUCCACCGCCCUGCCUGGAAGAAGCUCAGCUCAGGCUGAAUGUGCAAACAUCCACAGCUUUUCUCCGAGAGAGAGCUAGACGGAGCAGAUUUCCACACACACAGCCUACUACGCUCCUUCUCCACCUUCCUCCCACAGAUCCAUCCACUGCUGCGCUCUCUGCCUACUGAGCCCUGAAGAAGUCGUUUCACAGAUUCACACCCUGCCUUGUUUUUGGAUCGCAUGACUCACGCGCUCUCGAAAUACCAUUGCCACUAUUUGGGUCACUCUGCGGCUGAACUGUGUGCUGUGCAUUCACUCUGCUGCUGUUAGCAUGCACUCUCUUCAUAUAUAUUAUAUACAUGUAUGUCUUUAUCGUCUUAUAAGUGCAUGUGUUCAUUUCUUUGCAUUACCAUAAGCCAUAUUCCUAUUCACAAAAUGUUCAGACAAAAAAAAGUUUUGUCUUCCUUUGCACGUCUUUUAUAAACAUUGACCUUUUCUGUAUGUUUUCCCUCAGCCUUAUCGUGUCUACUGGCACUUACAGUACGGCAACAUACAGUACAGUAGUGAUGUACUGAAAGCUAGAGCAUCAUAAGGGCUUGGUGUUUGUGACUGCAUUGCAUUUGGUCUAUUAAAGCUGCUAAUAUAGACACUUGAGUCUGCUUCCUCUUCUAUAGACUGAUCUAGGAGCUGUGGGCGGAAGUAAACAAGACACCAUUUCUGCUGUUGAUCUCACUUGUAAACCUGCACAGCAACACUGUGAAAAUGAAAUGACGUUCUCUCUAGAAUCAGACUAUCUUUUAAUUUUACUUUACUUUUUACUUUUAACAGUUUCUUGGGUUUCAGAAGAAAUCAUGGAUUGCAUAUUUAUGAUCAUAAGCUAACAAAUAACUUGAACGGGGUUUAAUAUCUACACAGC